CUUGACCUUGGCUUGCAUCUCUUUAAUAGCAGCAGUUUCAUCUUCUAUAUCCUUCAAGCGCUUAUCCAUGUCAUCAAAAUCCUGCACUCACAAUAGCAGUGGCGUAACAUCAGAAUUAGGAAAUGCAGAGAAGGAAGAGCUUGGAGAACAAGGGCUCAAGCUUGGAAUUUUGCAGCGAGCAUCCAAUCAAGAAGCUCCUCAACCUCCGCAUCGAACUUCCUUGCUGCCAAGAUGAAAGUGUUGCCAGUUCUGCCGUAGCGACAUAAAUCUGAGACGAACGAAGAAAUGAAGACAGCAAUGCGGAUCUGAGGCGGAGGAUGAAAAUAGGAACAACCAUGCAGUUUGAAUGAUGAACGGAAGUCGGCGAUGGCAGGGUCUGCGACAGUGGUCGGCGAUAAAGGGAAUGCUUGAGGUUGUGCUGUUGUGAGUUUCUGAUUUAGGGUGGGAGAGUUUUUUAGUAUGUUUGGCAAUUGAUGGAAGAAGACGAU